CAAAGGAAUUGACGGGACCCGCACAAGCAGCGGAGCGUGUGGUUUAAUUCGUUGCUACACGAAGAACCUUACCUGGGUUUGACAUAUAGGUUGUAGGGAACUGAAAAGGGACCGACCCUUCGGGGAGCCUAUACAGGUGUUGCAUGGCUGUCGUCAGCUCGUGUCGUGAGAUGUUCGGUUAAGUCCGCUAACGAGCGCAACCCUCGUCGUAUGUUAUAUGUGUCAUACGAGACUGCCGGUAAAAGCCGGAGGAAGGUGAGGAUGAUGUCAAGUCAGCAUGACCUUUAUAUCCAGGGCUACACACACGCUACAAUGGUCUGUACAAUGGGUAGCCAAGCCGCGAGGCGGAGCCAAUCCUGAAAGCAGGCCUCAGUUCAGAUUGCAGUCUGCAACUCGACUGCAUGAAGCCGGAGUUGCUAGUAACCGCAGGUCAGCAAUACUGCGGUGAAUACGUUCCCGGGUCUU
rnacentral:rRNA from 1 species